rnacentral:rRNA from 1 species
GGGCGAGCGCGAGGGUAGCAAUACGACGUUGGCGGCGACCGGCGGAAGGGUGCGUAACGCGUGAGCAACAUGCCCGUCGACAGGGGGAGUAACAGUUGGAAACGACUCCUAAUACCCCGUAACAUCAUGGAUGGCAUCUUCUAUGGUUGAAAGCUAUUUGCGGUGACGGAUUGGCUCGCGUGACAUUAGCUAGUUGGAGUGGUAACGGCACACCAAGGCGACGAUGUCUAGGGGUUCUGAGAGGAAGGUCCCCCACACUGGAACUGAGACACGGUCCAGACUCCUACGGGAGGCAGCAGUGAGGAAUAUUGGUCAAUGGGCGGAAGCCUGAACCAGCCAUGCCGCGUGAAGGAAUAAGGUCCUAUGGAUCGUAAACUUCUUUUGUACGGGAGCAAUAAGGGUGUCGUGACAUCCGAUGAGAGUACCGUACGAAUAAGCAUCGGCUAACUCCGUGCC